GUGAGGAAUAUUGCUCAAUGGGCGAAAGCCUGAAGCAGCGACGCCGCGUGAGGGAUGAAAUCCGUUAGGAUGUAAACCUCUUUUGCGAGGGAAGAAUGACCCGAUGAAUCGGGUAGGGACUGUACCUCGUGAAUAAGCACCGGCUAACUACGUGCCAGCAGCCGCGGUAAUACGUAGGGUGCGAGCGUUGUCCGGAAUUACUGGGUGUAAAGGGUCCGCAGGCGGGGAGAUAAGUCGACGGUGAAAUUCUGCAGCUCAACUGCAGACCUGCCGUUGAUACUGUCUCUCUUGAGUUCGAGAGAGGAUAAUGGAAUUCAUGGUGUAGCGGUGAAAUGCGUAGAUAUCAUGAAGAACACCGAUUGCGAAGGCAGUUAUCUGGCUCGACACUGACGCUCAGGGACGAAAGCGUGGGUAGCAAACAGGAUUAGAUACCCGAGUAGUCC
rnacentral:rRNA from 1 species